rnacentral:rRNA from 1 species
UACGGAGGGGGCAAGCGUUGUUCGGAAUCAUUGGGCGUAAAGGGCGCGUAGGCGGCCUGGCAAGUCGGGUGUGAAAUCCCUCGGCUCAACCGAGGAACUGCACUCGAUACUGCCGGGCUAGAGUCCGGGAGGGGAUGGUGGAAUUCCCAGUGUAGCGGUGAAAUGCGUAGAUAUUGGGAAGAACACCGGUGGCGAAGGCGGCCAUCUGGACCGGAACUGACGCUGAGGCGCGAAAGCUAGGGGAGCAAACGGG